rnacentral:rRNA from 1 species
UCCCAGCUGUAAACGAUGCUCGCUAGGUGUCAGGUGCGGUGCGACCGCAUCUGGUGCCGCAGUGAAAACUUGAAGCGAGUCACCUGGGAAGUACGGUCGCAAGGCUGAAACUUAAAGGAAUUGGCGGGGGAGCACUACAACGGGUGGAGCCUGCGGUUCAAUUGGAUUCAACGCCGGAAAGCUUACCGGACUCGACAGCACUAUGAAGGUCAGGCUAAAGACCUUACCGAAUUCGCUGAGAGGAGGUGCAUGGCCGUCGUCAGUUCGUAUCGUGAGACAUCCUGUUAAGUCAGGCAACGAGCAAGACCCGUGCCCACAGUUGCCAGCAUCUUCGCAAGAAGGAUGGGCACACUGUGGGGACCGCCGCUGCUAAAGCGGAGGAAGGAGCGGGCUACGGUAGGUCAGUAUGCCCCGAAUGGUCCGGGCUACACGCGGGCUACAAUGGUUGGGACAAUGGGCACCAACACCGAGAGGUGACGGU